AAGCCAUGGUGUGGGCAUUGUCUUUGAAGUUCCUUGAACCUUUCCCAAGCUGCAUAAAUUGUUUCACCCAUGUUUUGCUUGAAUUUUGUGAUCUUAUUACGAAACUU
rnacentral:snoRNA from 1 species